CCUUUAAUCUCGACACUUGGA
rnacentral:piRNA from 1 species